rnacentral:misc_RNA from 1 species
AAGCGUGUUUUUGGUUUUCACGUAGUAGCAGAAGGGUCGUGCCUUGUCCUGUGUGUAUUUUGCUAGCUGGCCGUUGCCGUUACUGCCGCUGCUGCGAGGAUACCUUGGUCCACUUCUCCUUGUCUCUCUUUUUUUUUCUUUGGCACUAGCAACGCGUUCGACGGAUUCUCCUCUACGGAUCCAUCAUUCGCCCAUCCACCGACGUACGCGCGUCUGUGUCUCUGCGUCUCUCUCUCUGUGGGAGCAUCUGACCUCUUCCACCCACUUUUCUCCUGUUCGUCUCUGCCGUUAAGUGCCUUCCUAUUUUAUCUCUGUUGCUGUUGCUGUUUUCGUUUUCGGAAUUUUUUUUGUUUGGUGUACGUGUGCGUGGGACCGCCACCUCAUCCGGCCACAUAUUUCGCCGUGGCUCGUUUCACGUAUCGGUGGUUUACACACACACACAUAUAUAUAUAUAUAUAAGCCCCUUCUUUUUGUCGUGGUGCUCCACGUUUUAGAUGUGCCAAGAGCUCCCUCACUCACGCACUGACUUACUCUGCCCUUUCCGAAAUCGGUGACUUUCUUUUCCUCACCAACGCUUUACAUACAUCUCUCUCUCUCUCUAUCUACAGCUAUCUUCAUCUCUUGCGCUACCCCCAUUUCUCCUCUCUUCUCCUGUGCGCGUGCGGCCCUUUUCU